rnacentral:ncRNA from 1 species
GAUCUUAUGGUGUUGCAGUCAGAAUGUUGCUAGGUCUGCUGGGUUGAUUAUGGAUGCUUGUAACCGGCCUGAUAAUAAGAUUACGGGCUGGGCGUAUGUCCAGGGCAAUGGCGACUUCUACAUCGAGAUUCGAGGUGCCUAAUCCGGGUUGAAGACAUUGUCAGGUGGGGAGUUUGGCUGGGGCGGCACAUCUGUUAAACCAUAGUGCAGGUGUCCUAAGGGGAACUCAUGGAGAACAGAAAUCUCAUUAGAACAAAAGGGUAAAAGUCCCCUUGAUUUUGAUUUUCAGUGUGAAUACAGACCAUGAAAGUGUAGCCUAUCGAUCCUUGAGUCCCUCGAAAUUUGAGGGUGAU